UACGAAGGGUGCAAACGUUGCUCGGAAUUAUUGGGCGUAAAGCGCACGUAGGCGGCUUAGCAAGUUGGAUGUGAAAGCCCUCGGCUUAACCAAGGAAGUGCAUCCAAAACUGCUGAGCUUGAGUAGUUAAGAGGAUCGCGGAAUUCCCGGUGUAGAGGUGGAAUUCGUAGAUAUCGGGAGGAACAUCAGUGGCGAAGGCGGCCUGCUGGGCUGUUGCUGACGCUGAGGCGCGACAGCGUGGGGAGCAAACAGG
rnacentral:rRNA from 1 species